AAAGGGAAGGACUUCAACCACGCGACCACUCUUCUGCCACCUACCGCCUCGGCGCCUCAACAUGCCACAAUAACAAUGAUGCACAUAAUAAACCACCCAGACUGGCCAGACAGGCCAAGGAUCAGGAAAAUGUGUUCAUUCAGAGCUGCGCAGAUGUCACGUGCAGAGUCGGAGCCGCACUCAGUUUGCGGUAGCCGUUAGGGCGCACCUUCUCCCCGCUGCAGAGUCGGUGACGGCGCUCAGCAGGUCUGUUCAGACAAAAGGAUUUAGGAGCAGUACAGUCAUCUGCACGAACACCUCAGCCUGACCGCAGCAGUCCGGCACCGUCGUCUGUGACCGCCUGCAGCGGAGCACUGCAGACUACAACCAAUUACAGACUACAGCCCUUAAAUGGUUCUGGUUUAUUCGCGGUGAACAGAUGCCGGUUAUUCAGGAACAAAGAAAGGAGGAAGUCUUUUUGUUGUUCUCUGUCUACCUGGCCCAUGAAAUCUGAGACAGCCAAUCACCUUUCUGAAAGUCGACAUUCAAGAUCUCCGCACUCAUUCGCUCUUACGCAGAACCUCGCUUUUGUCUGCCCUUCAGUCAUUUUGUCCAGUGAUGGUUAAGAGUGAUAUGAACAGCAGUGUUAGGGUGGAGUCCAUCAGUACAGACAGGCAGGCCCACUCUGGACGAAUGAAAUGGCCCAUUUUUAACUCCUUCAAUUUUCAGAGCCAUUUCAGCUUGGCUUCCACACGCCGUUUACACGACCUCGUUUACACCUAAACGCCCGAAUUAUUCAGAAAUGUGGAGGAGUUCCCUUUAACUUUACAGCUUUGACCACAAACGCAGACUGCGUCGCUUCACAGUCGUAAUGGAUUUGAAGACAGAAUUCACACUACUCCUCUUCUAUUGACGCACGACCUUGUUUUAUGUUACAUUUUGCAGAAAAUAAAAAGGACAUUAAAUAAAAUAUGAAACGGUUCCACAGUAUUCACAAGGGUCAGUGUCCAAUGCUGAAUGCUACUGUACUUAACUACAUUUAAAAAUAAAGACUUUUCCCAUGUGAUCCUGUAACAUCAUGCUGACAAUGUGAUUGUAUCUAAAGAAACUCUGUUCUGUAUGUCUCCUAUACAGCAAAAAUCACCCCAUUUAACCCCAAACUCUUUCAUCAGUCUAUAACUGUAUAUGGUUUAGUCUUUUUUAAUCCAAAUCUGGGUCUGGAAAUCUGAGCCUAUAUGUUUAAAAUGGGUCACUGAUGUACUGCCAUGCUGUCCAUGAUGUUUCCUGAGCAGUGACUGAGCCUCUGUAGCCUCUUCUUGAGAAAAAUCAGCACACAUGACAACACUGGAGCAUGAUUUUCUUUUUAAGUACGUGGUUUAUUAUUUUUUUUCACCGUAUACAUGGAUCUUCGUAUUUUAAAUUUGAUGGGUAAAAGGUUAUGUAACUAAUGCACCCCUCUUUAUAAACAGAGGAUCUUAGUACUAAAAAUAGCACUUAAGAAAAACUAUAAAACCCUAAAUCAAUACU